rnacentral:rRNA from 1 species
UACGAGAGGCCCAAACGUUUAUUCGGAAUUACUGGGCGUAAAGUGUGCGCAGGCGGCCGAGCAAGUCGAGUGUGAAAGCCCCGAGCUUAACUUGGGAACUGCGCUCGAAACUACUUGGCUAGAGUGUGGCAGAGGGAGGUGGAAUUCCACGUGUAGCGGUGAAAUGCGUAGAGAUGUGGAGGAACACCGAUGGCGAAGGCAGCCUCCUGGGCCAACACUGACGCUCAUGCACGAAAGCGUGGGGAGCAAACAGG